CAGUGUUACUGUGCAUCAGCACAAAUUCAUAGAUUCAUUGAUGCUAGGGGCUGGAAGGGACCUCUCAAGAUCACCAGAUCUAGUCUCCCUGCACUUGAGCA